rnacentral:rRNA from 1 species
AGCGGGUGAAAAGCCCGCUCGCCGGAAGACCAAGGGUUCCUGUCCAACGUUAAUCGGGGCAGGGUGAGUCGACCCCUAAGGCGAGGCCGAAAGGCGUAGUCGAUGGGAAACGGGUUAAUAUUCCCGUACUUGGUGUUACUGCGAAGGGGGGACGGAGAAGGCUAUGUUGGCCGGGCGACGGUUGUCCCGGUUUAAGCGUGUAGGUGUGUGUUCCAGGUAAAUCCGGUUCACUUUAACACUGAGGCGUGAUGACGAGGCACUACGGUGCUGAAGCAACAAAUGCCCUGCUUCCAGGAAAAGCCUCUAAGCAUCAGGUAACAUCAAAUCGUACCCCAAACCGACACAGGUGGUCAGGUAGAGAAUACCAAGGCGCUUGAGAGAACUCGGGUGAAGGAACUAGGCAAAAUGGUGCCGUAACUUCGGGAGAAGGCACGCUGACAUGUAGGUGAAGUGAUUUACUCAUGGAGCUGAAGUCAGUCGAAGAUACCAGCUGGCUGCAACUGUUUAUUAAAAACACAGCACUGUGCAAACACGAAAGUGGACGUAUACGGUGUGACGCCUGCCCGGUGCCGGAAGGUUAAUUGAUGGGGUCAGCGCAAGCGAAGCUCCUGAUCGAAGCCCCGGUAAACGGCGGCCGUAACUAUAACGGUCCUAAGGUAGCGAAAUUCCUUGUCGGGUAAGUUCCGACCUGCACGAAUGGCGUAAUGAUGGCCAGGCUGUCUCCACCCGAGACUCAGUGAAAUUGAACUCGCUGUGAAGAUGCAGUGUACCCGCGGCAAGACGGAAAGACCCCGUGAACCUUUACUAUAGCUUGACACUGAACAUUGAGCCUUGAUGUGUAGGAUAGGUGGGAGGCUUUGAAGYGUGGACGCCAGUCUGCRUGGAGCCGACCUUGAAAUACCACCCUUUAAUGUUUGAUGUUCUAACGUGGACCCGURAUCCGGGUUGCGGACAGUGUCUGGUGGGUAGUUUGACUGGGGCGGUCUCCUCCUAAAGAGUAACGGAGGAGCACGAAGGUUGGCUAAUCCUGGUCGGACAUCAGGAGGUUAGUGCAAUGGCAUAAGCCAGCUUGACUGCGAGCGUGACGGCGCGAGCAGGUGCGAAAGCAGGUCAUAGUGAUCCGGUGGUUCUGAAUGGAAGGGCCAUCGCUCAACGGAUAAAAGGUACUCCGGGGAUAACAGGCUGAUACCGCCCAAGAGUUCAUAUCGACGGCGGUGUUUGGCACCUCGAUGUCGGCUCAUCACAUCCUGGGGCUGAAGUAGGUCCCAAGGGUAUGGCUGUUCGCCAUUUAAAGUGGUACGCGAGCUGGGUUUAGAACGUCGUGAGACAGUUCGGUCCCUAUCUGCCGUGGGCGCUGGAGAACUGAGGGGGGCUGCUCCUAGUACGAGAGGACCGGAGUGGACGCAUCACUGGUGUUCGGGUUGUCAUGCCAAUGGCACUGCCCGGUAGCUAAAUGCGGAAGAGAUAAGUGCUGAAAGCAUCUAAGCACGAAACUUGCCCCGAGAUGAGUUCUCCCUGAGACUUAGAGUCUCCUGAAGGAACGUUGAAGACGACGACGUUGAUAGGCCGGGUGUGUAAGCGCAGCGAUGCGUUGAGCUAACCGGUACUAAUGAACCGUGAGGCUUAACCUUACAACGCCGAAG